rnacentral:misc_RNA from 1 species
UGCACAAUAGUCAUUUGUAUCCAUUAAAGUGAUGGAAGAAUCUGGAAGAAGAAGAGGUCCAACUGAUGCAGCAUCAGCUGUUAAUGUUAAUCUGGAAGCCAAGUCUUCUCUCUCGAGAGUCUCAACCUGAGAAACAACAAAAUCUACGGAGUCUGCAAUAAAGGGUUCCUGGGGACUAUCACGAAUUCCACUUAGCACAUGCCGUUUCAGUAUAAAAGCAGGAGCCCAACCAACAAUACGAGCCCAUGGCAUUGAAGCUGAGAAACUAGUGGUCUCCACAAAUGUAUUUGAAAGUACCAAGGACCUAACACGCCGGGGACGAUGCUGAGCAAAAAGUUGUGCUAAGAAGCCUCCAAGGGCUGUUCCAUAGAGAUGAAUAUGAUGAACAUCAAUAGCAUCUAGAAACUUCUCAAAUGCUUGAAUCCACUCGUGGUUGUUCCAUGCACGCGGAAUAUCAACGGAAAUUACACGGUAACCCUUCAUAGACAAUGACAUUAUCUGCUUGUAAUAUACAUCAGCAGUACCAGCUAUGCCAGGGAGGCAAAUGAGUGGGGGAACUACUUUCGGGCCAAAAUCAUAAUAUCGCCACUGCUUUGAUCCAAUAGGGAUCUUGUGAAGAGGAACUUGAGACUUGAAGUAGAUGUAAUCACCAGGAGCCGAAAGGACACCUCCUUUCAUAGCUGAUUUAUUCACCUUUCACUGCAUAUACCCACCCAUUAAAGUUCUUGAAUUUGUUCUAUAACAAGAAGAAAAAAAAAAACUCAUCUUCCUCAGAGAGGUGGCAUUUUG